rnacentral:rRNA from 1 species
GACGAACGCUGGCGGCGUGCUUAACACAUGCAAGUCGAACGAUGAUGCCAGCUUGCUGGUGGAUUAGUGGCGAACGGGUGAGUAACACGUGAGCAACCUGCCCCUGACUUCGGGAUAACCGCGGGAAACCGUGGCUAAUACCGGAUAUGACGCGCUAUCGCAUGGUGGUGUGUGGAAAGAUUUAUCGGUUGGGGAUGGGCUCGCGGCCUAUCAGCUUGUUGGUGGGGUGAUGGCCUACCAAGGCGACGACGGGUAGCCGGCCUGAGAGGGUGACCGGCCACACUGGGACGGAGACACGGCCCAGACUCCUACGGGAGGCAGCAGUGGGGAAUAUUGCACAAUGGGCGCAAGCCUGAUGCAGCGACGCCGCGUGAGGGAUGACGGCCUUCGGGUUGUAAACCUCUUUCAGUAGGGAAGAAGGCCUUCGGGUUGACGGUACCUGCAGAAGAAGCGCCGGCUAACUACGUG